UGGGGAAUAUUGGUCAAUGGGCGCAAGCCUGAACCAGCCAUGCCGCGUGAGUGAAGAAGGCCUUAGGGUUGUAAAGCUCUUUCAGCGGGGACGAUAAUGACGGUACCCGCAGAAGAAGCCCCGGCUAACUUCGUGCCAGCAGCCGCGGUAAUACGAAGGGGGCUAGCGUUGUUCGGAAUUACUGGGCGUAAAGCGCGCGUAGGCGGACAUUUAAGUCAGGGGUGAAAUCCCAGGGCUCAACCCUGGAACUGCCUUUGAUACUGAAUGUCUGGAGUUCGGGAGAGGUGAGUGGAAUUCCGAGUGUAGAGGUGAAAUUCGUAGAUAUUCGGAGGAACACCAGAAGCGAAGGCGGCUCACUGGCCCGAUACUGACGCUGAGGCGCGAAAGCGUGGGGAGCAAACAG
rnacentral:rRNA from 1 species